GACGAACGCUGGCGGCGUGCUUAACACAUGCAAGUCGAACGGAAAGGCCCCCACUUUUUUGGUGGGGGUGCUCGAGUGGCGAACGGGUGAGUAACACGUGGGUGAUCUGCCCUGUACUUCGGGAUAAGCUUGGGAAACUGGGUCUAAUACCGGAUAGGACCAUGGUUUAGUGUCUCAUGGUGGAAAGAUUAUUGUUUUGGUGCAGGAUGAGCUCGCGGCCUAUCAGCUUGUUGGUGGGGUAAUGGCCUACCAAGGCGUCGACGGGUAGCCGGCCUGAGAGGGUGGACGGCCACAUUGGGACUGAGAUACGGCCCAGACUCCUACGGGAGGCAGCAGUGGGGAAUAUUGCACAAUGGGCGCAAGCCUGAUGCAGCGACGCCGCGUGGGGGAUGACGGCCUUCGGGUUGUAAACUCCUUUCGUUAGGGACGAAGCCGCAUUUUUUUUGG
rnacentral:rRNA from 1 species